rnacentral:lncRNA from 1 species
CUGCUGUGUUUCCCCCUGUUAAGGUAAUAGACAGAACCUCUGAAUGUGUGAGCCAGCCCUGAUUAAAUAUUUUCCUUUAUAAGUGUUGCCUUGUUCCAGGACCCAGCAGCGAGGACAUUAGCCGAAAUACCCAGCAAAGGGGAGAUAGAACUUGUAGAAACCAUAUCCAGUGGAUCGGCAUGGCCCCUAGUUGAGGGAUGGAACCACCAAAAAUAUUAAUCCAGAAUUCCUUGUGUCAAAAGGAAAUGCAAGGACAAAGAGUGGAGCAGAGACUGAAGAGAAGGCCAUCUAGAGACUGCCCUACUGAGAGAUCCAUCCCAUCUGCAGACACCAAACUCGGACACUAUUGCUGAUGCCAAGAAGCCCUUGCUGACAGGAGCAUGCUAUAGCUGUCACCUGAGAGGCUCAGCCAGAGCCUGACCAAUACAAAUGCAUAUGCAAACAGCCAAGCAUCAGACUGAGUUCUGGGACCUCAAUGGAGGAGUUAGGGGAAGGACUGAAGGAGCUGAUUUGGUUUGCAAUCCCAUAGGAAGAACAACAACGUCCACCAAUCAGAACCCCCAAAGCUCCCAGGGUCUAAACCAUCAACCAAAAAGUGCACAUGGAGCAACCCAUGGCUCCAACUGGAUGUGUAGCAGAGGAUUUCCUUAUUGGGCAUUACUGGGAGGGGAGCCCCUUGGUCCUAUGGAGGCUCCAUGACCCAGGGGCUUUAAACCUUUUGAUGAAUUUAUUACAACUGAAGGAGAUCAUGGGAAAACAAUUUGGAAAGGAAGAAGUUAAAGUAUCUUUAUUUGCAGACAAUAUGGUCAAAUACAUAAGUGAUCCUAAAACUUUGACCAGGAAACUCCUGCAACUGAGCUGGGGACUGAACCCAGGGCCUUGUGCUUCCUAGGCAAGCGCUCUACCACUGAGCUAAAUCCCCAACCCUUUAACAUAUUUCUUAAACAGGAAACGCAGAUGUCUGAGAAACACUUAAAAUAAAUGUUAAGUGGGUUUUGUCACAAGGAAAUGCAAAUCUGCUCUACUUUGCAAUAUCAUCUGUACCUGUCAGAAUGGCUAAAACCAAUAAAAUAAAUGACAGGUCAUGCUUCCAUGUAUGUAGAAUAACUGAAGCCCUCAUUUCUUGCUGGAUCAGUGUGGCAGUUCCUCAAGAAGAUGAGAAUUGAUGUAUCUCAAGAUCCAGCUAUAGCACUCUUUCAAUUUAUCCAGAGAAUGCUUCAUUUUACCACAGACUCAUCUGCUCGACCAUAUUUGUUCAUAAUAACCAGAAGUUAGAAAUAACUUAGAUGUCCAUCUAUAGAAGAGUGAAUAAAUGUGAUAUAUAUAUAUAUAUAUAUAUAUAUAUAUAUAUAUUUGCCUGAGCACAUUUAAGCAAUUCUCUACUGUGUGAUUGUGCUCAGUCAUUAAAAAAAAUCACAUUAAAAAUUUAAGGUAAAUGGAAGGACAUAGAAGAAAGCAUCCUGAAGUAGCACAGAUCCAGAGAGACAGAUAUGGUAUGUAUUCACUUGUAUGUAGAUAUUAGCUGUUAAAUCAAUAGGACCACAGAAUUUACAGAUAGAUUAAGCCAUUAGAAGGACAAAUAGAUCUUGCUAGGGAAGAGAAAUAGAGUUUGGAUAGAUGGGAGAAGGGACUUGUAGGAUGAUGUCAUAGGUGAGGCAGGUACAAGAUAGAAGGAGGCCUGUUAUUGGAUGAGAAGGAAGGAUGGGCGGGAGAAAAGUUUGAAGGAAGAGGAAGAGACUGGAACAGAAAGGAAGAAGAGACAGGAGGGACAGGGAAAGAAGCCAUGGCAGGACAAUGUGGCAGGUGAUGUUAAGAUUCCACGCUGACAACGACUUUAUGAAAUUCAUAGGCAAAUGGAGGGAACUGGAAAAUAUCAUCCUGAGUGAGCUAACCCAAUCACAGAAAAACACACAUGGUAAGCACUCAUUGAUAAGUGGAUAUUAGCCCAAAUGCUUGAAUUACCCUAGAUGCCUAGAACAAAUGAAAGUCAAGAAGGAUGACCAAAAUGCAAAUGCUUCACUCCUUCUUUAAAAGGGGAACAAGAAUACCCUUGGGAGUGAAUAGGGAGGCAAAGUUUAGACCAGAGGCAGAAGGAACACCCAUUCAGAGCCUGCCCCACAUGUGGCCCAUACAUAUACAGCCUCCAAACUAGAUAAGAUGGAUGAAGCAAAGAAGUGCAGACCGACAGGAGCCGGAUGUAGAUCGCUCCUGAGAGACACAGCCAGAAUACAGCAAAUACAGAGGCGAAUGCCAGCAGCAAACCACUGAACUGAGAACAGGACCCCCGUUGAAGGAAUCAGAGAAAGAACUGGAAGAUCUUGAAGGGGCUCGAGACCCCAUAUGUACAACAAUGCCAAGCAACCAGAGCUUCCAGGGACUAAGCCACUACCUAAAGACUAUACAUGGACUGACCCUGGACUCUGACCCCAUAGGUAGCAAUGAAUAUCCUAGUAAGAGCACCAGUGGAAGGGGAAGCCCUGGGUCCUGCUAAGACUGAGCCCCCAGUGAGCGUGAUUGUUGUGGGGAGGGCGGUAAUGGGGGGAGGAUGGGAAGGGG